GGCCACUCUUUAAUUCCCCUUAAGUGAACCCCUCAUUUCUAGCCCAAACGUUCGUCCGACCCGCCCCAAAAGUUUUUAAUUCUCUAAGUUCUUCAACCUGAUCUCAUUUCAGCCAAAACAGAAAAAGAACAAACGAACCCUAAUCGCCUAAAGCUCAUCAAUCUCCAGCUCACGCGAAUGCCAUUUUUUGCAAAUAUUCAUCUGCUUUUUCAAUUCAUAUAGCCUUCUCUCAUCCAUUUUUGAGCAAAGGUUUAAAUGUUUUUGUCUUCUUCGAUAGCUUGCAAACGGUAACAUGCUUUUAAUUUUUUCUUUUCUUUUUCGGAUAUCAAGCAAAACUAAAUGAAUUUCAAGUUGAAAUUGGAUUCCAAGGCAAUCCUAAUUGUCCCACAUCAUUUUCUCUACGACGGUUUUACACACCACUACAUGGCUAAAAGACAUUUUGAGUCUGAACUUUGAGUUCCAUUGGUGUUUUUAAGUUUAAAAUUUUAAUAUUUUUUGUUUUUGUUGUUGUUGUUCGAGUAUCAAUUUCGUCGCCGUUGGUGAAAACUGAUCGACUCAACUCUCGUCGCCCCCGUCGCUGCUCGGCAAAAAGUUUUGAUGAUUACAGGGCUACGUAAGUAGAAGAAUUCUCAGAUGCUCAAAAUAAGAGGAUAAUGCUCAUGAUGGAGGCCAUUCUUGAAAUGAAGAAAAGGAAAACUUGGAACUCGAGGACUUGAACAAGAUCUAAAUCGGAAUGAUGCGGCUAUUCACACCUUGGAAGAUCAAAUUAUCACACCUUGUACUUUUAUGUUAGAAUGCGUCAUAAGUGAAUCAAUAUGAGCCGAAGAGGUUAAGGACCUUUACAAAGAUAACGAUAGGUUAAAACAAGUGUUAAGGAAGUAUCGUGAGGGUUAAAGGUUAAAUGAAUCAAGGAUGUUAUAACCUGUACUUUUGGGGUAAAACUAGGAGUGCUUAAUAUUAUAAGGAGGUCGUGUUUUAAGGUAAUUGAUUCAUAUAAUAUUCGUAUGUUAAUUUUUGAAGUCAAACAAUUUGUAAAACAAAAGUCAGCAAAAGCGAUCAUAAGUUACGUUCAUAAUUUAGUGAAAUUUAGGUCUAAUGUCACUGAGCUUUUGUCCCAAUAUAGUUGGAGUUACGGGGUGAUCCACCCACCAAAUUGAAGGUCUACGAGUCUAGUGUCCAACACAUUAAACUGUUUGUCGAUACGAAGUCGGGGUAGAGAGAUAUUCACAUUUUUGCGAGAUUGCACAUGCAGCCCUUUUGGGACCCAGUUGAGGCGGUGGAAGUUUCUUGGUUCUCUGUAAUGCGGUGGACUUCUAUUUUGAAUUAUUUUUUACCAUACCAGAUCCCAGACAACCCCUAAACUCUCUCUAAACAUUCCCUCAUGAUUGAAGAGUGAAUCUAAGGCCAAACUACCCAAGGCUAUCAUCAAAAGUCUCAUAGAACUAGCAGGGAGCGCUUCUAUGGCGUUGUUGUUGUCUUGAGGGUUCCUUUAAGUUGAAGAAAGAUUUGGUUGAAGGUUAUUGUUUCUGUUUGAGACUUAGGCGUGAACGAGGUUGAUUCUGGCUUGAUACAUCGUGGUUCGAUAUAAGUACGUAACACCACUGAUCAGUUGGUUAUUAUGAUGAAGAUGGUGAUGUCCACAGAGGCCCUAUGACGCUAUAUGCACGUAUAUGUGGUAUAUGUAUCUUGUUGGCGUUAUAUACACGUAUACGGUAUUAUGCAUAUCAUGGACCACAGUGGCAAUCUGAGUUACAGGUUCUGGUAGACAGAUUGACGGACCUACUCAGAAGGUGAUUUGGCUCAGCGGUGGAUUGGUGCACUCCGCUUGUUCUGGAGUUGCCAUUUGAGUCGGUAUGAUCCUAUGUAUAUGAUAUGGGUAUGGCGGGGCCUUGUCCCGACUUUAUGAUGGUUAUGUUAUUCUUAGAGGCUUGUGGACAGAUAUCCUAUGGGUAAAUGAUUUUGUACGACCUUGUCAGCCCGACUAUAUACUUAUAUGUGUCAUUUUGGGAUGUAUGUAAUUGUAUAUCUUUCUAUAUUUAUUCAGAAUGAUACAUGGUGCCCUUGACAA